GAAAUGUGAUAAGUAAUGUGAAUUGCAGAAUUCAGUGAAUCAUCGAAUCUUUGAACGCACAUUGCGCCCGCCAGUAUUCUGGCGGGCAUGCCUGUUCGAGCGUCAUUUCAACCAUCAAGCCCCCCCGGGCCUGUGUUGGGGACCUGCGGCUGCCCGCAGGCCCCGAAAACCAGUGGCGGGCUCGCUGUCACCCCGAGCGUAGUAGCAACACCUCGCCCAGGGAGUGCCGCGGGUUCCGGCCGUAAAACCUCGCCCUCGCGGCGAGAACACCCCCCCAAGGUUGACCUCGGAUCAGGUAGGAAGACCCGCUGAACUUAAGC
rnacentral:misc_RNA from 1 species